CAAAUAACGAUGUGGGUCUUGACGGAAUGGUUAUAAAUGUUGCUAGUCUUUUAGCUGGAACCGUAACAAAUCCUUUUGGUAAUGGUUAUUUUCAAGGACCUAAAGAAGCUCCUUUGGAAGCUGCUUCGGCUUGCACCGGUGUUUAUGCUAAAGGAGCUUAUCCUGGUUAUGCUGGGGACCUUUUGCUGGACAAAACAAGUGGUGCUAGCUAUAAUGCAAAUGGUGAUAAUGGAAGGAAGUAUUUGUUGCCUGCUAUUGUUGACCCUAAAACCUCGGCUUGUUCUACAUUGGUAUAAAGUAAGAGUGUUUAGUUGUUAGGCAAUGAGAGAUUCUUUGAUUUGUUAAUUCAAUUAGUUGUUAUAGCCUCGAUAAUUCUUUGAUUCUUUGUAAUUUUAAUAAAUAAAUAAUAUCAAUAUUAUUAUGUCCUCCAUAAAUAAUGUUAUUGAAUGAAGCAAAGAUAUCAUAAUUUUACCAUUAUAGUUUUAUUAUAUACUGAUGCAUUAUAAAUAGAAAGUGAAAAAGAAAAAGAGCAAUGCUAUAAAUAAAUAGUGAAAAAUCUUGAGUUGAGAGUUAUGAUGAGAUUUGCAUCAAGCCCUAUAGUUGGCAAGUUGACUAUGAAUGUGACUAAUACACCGUUCAAUUCCAAAUCAAGCCAAGCUACUUAAUAUUAAAUUUAAUUUUUUUCCAUUUUUUCCUUUUUAAAAUAAAGGGUUGGGAGUGUUGAAGCACAUAGUAUAAAUUAAAUGGUAAAAUUGAAAAAGAAAUAGUUAAUAUUAUACUGAAAAUUGAAGUAAUACUCGAUUUUAGAUACAAUGAGUAUUUUGAAUGAUUAAAUAAUUCAAUUUCUUGAUGAAAUCAUUGUAAGAUCGUGUAAACUAAUUUCAUAUUUCGUCAUCGUGAGUUUAACUCAGUUGUUAUGUACAAUGCAUAAUAUAUAGAAGGUUUGUGGUUCGAAUCCCGACCACAAUUAAAAAAAGAAAACUAAUUUCAUAUUUCCAUAAACAACCCUUAAAAUAUUGCUAAAAAAGUAAAUAUGUAUGGAUAAAUGGCGUUAAUUUCAUAAAUCCAACUUCAACUAAUGCAUAUGCAAUGGUAAAAUAAUAAUUUUUUGGUCUAUGUUCUCUCUCUUUUUUUUUUUUUUUUUUUAUAUAUAACAAAGGUUGCCUUUUCUUGCCAUAAAAUAUAAUAAAGAUUAUCUUUAAAAAAAAAUUUGUUAAGGGUUUAGUUUAAAAUUAUAAUCUUAUCAUUAUUGUCAAUAUUAAUUUUUUAUCAAGUACGUUAGAAGUUAGAAUUUCACCUUUAAAUUGAAUAAGUCGUGAAUCCAAAAUUCAAACCUGAACCCUACGUUUAUAAUAUAAUGUCCCUAUCAAUUGAGUUAUACUCACGAAGACUCUUCAUUGUCAAUAUAACUCACAAAACAUUUCAUCAUAGUUGAUCCAUAAUAGAAUCCUCGCAAUUACUGACCAUAUUCAAUAUACAAUUACUACUAAAAAAAAGUGGAGAAUUCACCAACACCCUUUCAUUUUGGAACCUGUAGAUCAACAGACUAAUGUCAUGUUAGAGUCGAACUUGACGAUGGAUACGUCACCUAGUACAACUCAACAGUCUUUGGUGGCGGUUCAAGAAACAAAUACGAAUGCUACUCUUGGGCAUUAUGAGGCGUCAAUUGAUCCGACUCAACAAAAGGAAAUUAAUCUUGUUCAACAUUUGUUGAUUCAAAGAAAAUUGUUGUGGUACCAUUUACGCCUUAUCUUACAAAAGGUCAAAAAAAGAAAAUUAGCAAGGCAACAUAUCACAACAAAGGAUUGACCCCCAACUUAAGGCGACAACGCUCUCGAACCUCGCUCUCAUAACCGCUCGAGGGAGAGUAACCGUUGGACGACGAAUCUACCAUAUUCUCAGCAGUUUCAAAGCAAAUACUCAUCUUUGUCAACCCAAAAAACGAAGGAAAUGUACAAAAUGCAAAGGAAGAAAGGAAGUACCUUUGAAGUUCAAAGGUUUUUCAGAAAAAAGAGGCAAAACUUUGUAGAACCGUAAACCCCAGAAAUGCAGCCUAGAGAGGAAGGAUUUUCGCGCAAGUUGGUCGGAGGAAAAACUGGGAAAAGAAAACAAUACACUUCUAGGUGAAGUUUAAGAGUGAAUGCAGAAUAUCUGAAACCAUGAAGAUAAAGAGCGUAAAAGUUGGAAACAAAAAGUUUCCCUUCUUUUAUAGGCUUCAAAAGUAUCCAGAUCGACGAUUCAGAAGAGAAGAAACCUUGAAACCAAAGGUUUCUGAUUCAACGAUUAAUGGCAAUAUGACCUCGAACCACGAAGGGCACUCAAGUGGCACGCGCGUGAAGCGCAAAGGCCGGUGCGUGUGCGGGCCACGAAGCAUGCACGUGGAAAGUAAAACUAAACAACCAUCACGUUAUGAACGUUUCAGUUUGAAGCAUUAAAUGCCAACUGCUCCCACUAACUCGCAUGGGGCGCCACCUCCUCGAGGAAGGAAAAACUUCUCGCAAAUGUAAAACUACAGAGGCGCCAACAUGUGAAGGCGCCUGAUCGUAUGCCUCUCUUCACAGCUAAAAGCCAUUGCGCCUUAAAUGCAUCAACAGUUUUGGGGACAAAUGUUCUGGACCAGUUAGAAGACCAAUCUUACGUUGACACGUGGCCUGGCCUACACAGCCUUAAGGCUCUGCGCCUAAAGGAACACGCCAGCUUAAAUGCAUUGUGCCACACAGGAGCGCCCGCGAUGAUAACCUUACAUGUGUCCUCUAAUCGUCCCUAAUCACACGCCGCAAAACUCGAAGACGGUUACUCUCAACGCGCGCCUAUAUAAGGGUGACCUUGCUUCACCCCCAAGGUAUGAUUCACUUUUCACAACACCUUCUAAACACUCUUUCUCAAUUCCAUUACUGACUUGAGCGUCGGAGUGCUAACGUGUCUGAAGACACCUUUUGUCCCACUGCAAGGACUCGUCACCACCGUACCAGAAACCAUCACCGUCACAUCGGAGCACUUUCCACCACUGUUACCUCUCAUCCAUCCUCACCGGACAAAUCAAAACUUCUUCUGCAAACCUUUGAACCUUAAAACUUAUCUUAAACCUGAUGAACCCCCAAUCUCAACUCACGUAAACUUAUGAAGCAAAAAAAAAAAACACAAAUAAAGAAUAUAUAAAGAGAUCACCCAAAACAAGCGAAGAUAAAAAUUGCACAUUCUUGAUACGAGCAAAAUAAGUGCAAUUUUCUUAAAUUAUACUUCACAUAUCCCUCAUUAUAAAAUCCGUUGCAAAAAAAUUGUUUAUCCUUAAUACAUGAUUAUCCAUAAAUUUUAAGUACAUUGCUUUUUUUUUUUUCUUUUUUCUUUCUAAAUAUCAAUUAUUAAUAAGAGUUUAAUGGUGGUGGAUCGACAUUUCAAAACAUUUUUGCACACACAACCAAAAAACAUUCAGAAUUCUCACAUAAAUUAAAAAUAUUAAUUGGCGUGACGAUUUUAAAUAUUUUAAUUGAUUGUGUGCAAAAUUAUUUUGAAUUGUCGAUACACUACCAUUAAUCUCUAUUAAUAUUACCAAUCUAUCUUAGAAUAUAUUUUAAUAUAGUAACAUUGAAAAUAUUUACACAAAAAGAUAUUUAAUAAUAAUUAGAGUCGACAUUUGGAACAAAUUUAUUAUUUCUUCAACUUUUUUUUAGCACGAUUUUUAUAAGAGAUGAAUAGAAUAAAAGUGAUUGAUCAUCAAUCACGCAAAAGAAGAGUUGUUACGCUCUUCGAUGGAGAAUGGACCCAAAAGCUAGGGGCAUGCCUUGUACAAAGAAUACACAGCUUUGUCGUUUUGUUUCAUAGCUGUGCUGUUGCCUGUUACUGUCCCAAAUCAAUGAAUUCAUGCAAACUGGAAUAACAAAAUAACAACGCGUGAUAUAGCUGGCACAUCCACCACUCACUCCACUCAUCCUCCUACAUAAUUUAACUUCAACUAUAUAUAUACCUACAACUACAUCUUACAUUUCCAUCACCUCACAACAUUUCCACAUUCCCUUCUACUUCAUACUUUGUUCUAUCUCAAAAUGGCAUCUUUUAAGUUAAGUGUUAUCUUCACCCUUUUUCUCACAAUUUCACUACUUCAAUUGAGUUCAGCUAGGAAACUCACUGAAUCAGACCAACAACUUAAAUUUCAAUUCCACAAAGGCCCUCUUCUAACCGGUAAAAUUUCUGUAAACCUUAUUUGGUAUGGAAAAUUCAAACCAUCUCAACGAGCGAUCAUAACUGAUUUCAUAACCUCGUUGUCUUCUCCCAUAAAACCAAAAACCACAACACAACCAUCGGUUGCCACGUGGUGGAAAUCAACUGAAAAAUAUUACCAACUCACUAACAACAAGAAAUCAGUUAACCUAGCUCUAUCACUAGGUACUCAAAUUUUGGACGAGAAAUACUCUUUAGGAAAAUCUCUCACAACUAACCAAAUCCUUAAACUCGCAUCAAAAGGACAACAACAAAACGCCAUCAACGUUGUCCUAACAGCCGCUGAUGUGUUAGUUGACGGUUUUUGUUCAAGUAGGUGUGGAACCCAUGGUUCUUCUUAUGGUGCACGCGUGAAUGGAAAGAGAAACAAGUUCGCAUACAUUUGGGUUGGAAAUUCAGAGACACAAUGUGCUGGUCAAUGCGCGUGGCCAUUUCAUCAACCAAUUUAUGGUCCACAAAGUGCUCCGUUGGUUGCACCAAAUAACGAUGUGGGUCUUGACGGAAUGGUUAUAAAUGUUGCUAGUCUUUUAGCUGGAACCGUAACCAAUCCUUUUGGUAACGGUUAUUUUCAAGGACCAAAAGAAGCUCCUUUGGAAGCUGCUUCGGCUUGCACCGGUGUUUAUGCUAAAGGAGCUUAUCCUGGUUAUGCUGGGGACCUUUUGGUGGACAAAACAAGUGGUGCUAGCUACAACGCUAAUGGUGAUAAUGGAAGGAAGUAUUUGUUGCCUGCUAUUGUUGAUCCUAAAACUUCAGCUUGUUUUACAUUGGUAUAAAGAAUAAUUGUUUUGUUGUUAGGCAAUGAGAGAUUCUUUGAUUUAUUCAUUCAAUUAGUUGUUAUAACCUCGAAAUUAAUCUUUUAUUCUUUGAUUCUUUUUAAUCUUAAUAAAUAAAUAAUAUCAAUAUUAUUAUAUUGUCCUCCAUACAUGCAACACAUGUACAGACGGACGACGGUGCACAUGGCAUACUCUAUCCAUCUCAACGAUAAACAUUCACACAAAUCAAAUUUUAUUGAAUGAAGCAAAGAUAUCAUAAUUUUACCAUUGUAGUCUUACUAUAUAUCCUGAUGCAUAAUAAAUAGAAAGUGAAAAGAAAAAAAAAUAGAACGUGAAAAAUUGAGUUGAGAGUUAUGAUGAGAUUUGCAUGAAGCUUAUAGUUGGCCAGUUGACUAUGAAUGUGACUAAUACACCGUUCAAUUCCAAAUCAAGCUACUUAAUAUUAUUAUAAUUUUUUUUCCUUUUUUUGGUAUUAAAUUUAAUUUUUCCAUUUUUUUUUCUUUUUAAAAGAAAGAGUUGGGGAGUGUUGAAGCACAUAGUAUAAAUUAAAUGGUAAAAUUGAAAAAGAGAUAGUUAAUAUUAUACUGAAAAUUGAAAUAAUACUCGAUUUUAGAUAAACUUCUUUGGCAAAUGUCCCACUCAUAAUGUGACACAAUGAUUAUUUUGAAUGAUUUUUUUUUUUUUAAGAAAUUAUUUCAAUGACUAAAUAAUUCAAUUUCUUGAUGAUAUCAUCGUAAGUAGACAUGACAACACAACCCGUCCCCAUUGGAUCCCACCCACCCCGUCCCGAUUUUAAUGGGGAAAAGCCGAAUUGGUUAUGGGUGCGGGUUUGGAGAAAACCCGGAGUUUUAAUACGGGGGCGGGGGAUACUCACACUCGCCCUCGCCCCGUUUUUUUAAAUUACUAUUUUUAUCCUUAUUUUUUAUAGUCAUAUUACUCAUAUACCCUUCUUAAUCUUAACAUAGAAGCUUUUGUUUUAAUUAUCUUGCCACUAAACAUAUUUUUUCACGAUGAUGUUAUGAUCUCUAAUGAAUUUAGAAGCUUUUGUUAUUAGCUCUUUUUGUUAUUGUGAAAAAAUAAAAUAAAAAAUUGUCUACAAUUUUCGCGGGUGGGGUUGGGGAAAUCCGUCCCCGUUGGGGCAGGUCCGGGUGUAAAAUUUCUAUCCAGACGGGUUUGGGGGUGGGGGCGGGGCUGGGUACAAUGAAACAGGGACGGGGCCGGGUAUGUUAAAACUUGCCCCCGCCCCGUUGCCAUGUUUAAUUGUAAGAUCAUGUAAAUUAAUUUUUUUCCGUGAAUUUAGUUCAGUUGAUAAGGACAAUGCAUAAUAUAGAUAAGAUUCGAUUUUUCAGACAAAAAAAAAAAAAAAACUAAUUUAUUUCCAAAAACAACCCUUAAAAUAUUACUAAAGAAGUAAAUUUGUAUGGAUAAAUGGCGUUAAUUUCAUAAUUCCAACUUCAACUAAUGCAUAUGCAAUGGUUUAUAUAAAAAAGGUUGCCUUUUCUUGUCGAAAAAUAUAAUAGAGAUUAUCUUUAAAAAAAAAAUAAUGUUAAGGGUUCAGUUUAAAAUUAUAAUCUUUAUCAUUAUUGUCAAUAUUAAUUUUUUUAUCAAGUAGGUUAGUGUUAGAAUUUCAUCUUUAAAAUGCAUAAGUCGUGAAUCCAAAAUUCACACCAUAUCAACUAAGUUAUGCUCACGAAGACUCUUUAUUAUCAAUAUUACUCACAAAACAUUUCAUCAUAGUUGAUCCAUAAUAGAAUCCUCGCAAUUACUACCAUAUUCAAUAUACAACUACUAUUAAAAAAAAGUGAAGAAUUCACCAACACCCCUUCAUUUUGGAACCUCUAGAUCAACAGGCUAAUGCCAUGUUAGAGUCGAACUUAACGAUGGAUACGUCACCUAGUACAACUCAACAGUCUUUGGUGACGGUUCAAGAAACAGAUACGAAUGCUACUCUUAGGCAUUCUGAGGCGUCAAUUCAUCCGACUCUACAAAAGGAAAUUGAUCUUGUUCAGCAUUUGUUGAUUCAAAGAAAAAUGUUGAGGUGCCAUUUACGCAUUAUCUUACAAAAGGUCAAAAAUAGAAAAUUAGCAAGGCAACAUAUCACACCCGAUCUAUGAAUUCCCCUAUAGAACCGAAGGGUGGUUGAGCAGCCUCUUUUUCUUUUGGGCCAUUUUUUUCUUUCUUCGUUUAGUUUUUUUUUGUUUUUUUCUCUUACUUUCUUUCGGUUUUGUUUUGAGGGUUUUGGUUUAGCCCCCUCUUGUAUAGUUUCUUUCUUUUUUAUUUAUAUUAUGAGUGGGUGGCAGUGUAAGGCUUUCUUGAGAUGCCAACGGUGUUGUGAUGUCCGAAUGAUCCACUCGAAAAUCAGUUGUUAGAAUUAACAGGUCUUCAAAUCGUUCAUUUAAAAAAAAGGAAACCCGAUUUUUCAAACUCUCAUUGUUGUUUUAACUCGCUCUAUUUUAUUGAAAAAAAAUAAAAUACAUUUACACUUUGCAAGACUAUAUCUAUGUGUUUGUGUCUUGUUAGACUUUGUAGAUCUCUUGUUAUUUGUUAAUAACUUGAUAAUUUUAAUUUAUCUGUAUAUUUAUGUUUUUUUUUUUCUUCCAUGUCUUGCUAAUAUAUAAGCAUUUGUGUUUGACCAUAAAGUUUAUUAAAGAUUUUAGUAUUUUUCAAUAACAUUUUUAACUUACUAAAAUGUAUUUUCUAUUUAUAUACACGUUUAUUUGUUUUGAUAACUAUUUUAUUGGUGCAAAAUAUCUACCAAUAAUAUUAAUGAUUAUUCUCCGCUUCAGAACCUAUUUUUCAAAUUCAAGGGAUCUCCUCUCGGAACAACAUAUUUUUCAUCCACCGUGCGUGGAUCUGAGACCUUAAGAGAUCCGAGUAAAAUUCCACAAAGACCAACAUAAUGUUAGUGUGUAUAUAUUUAUUGAGUGUAGCUACCGAUAGUUGAUGCUUAUUCUGCGAAACUAGAAUUUUCAAUGACAUCUAUUUGUUUUAAUUAAUAUUACAUAUAUAGAGACUCAAUAAUAAUUUUAUGUGUUCUAAAUUUCUACAUGAUCCUAUCUUUGUUGUUUUGUCUAGUUUUCCACUCGUGCCGAAUUUAAUUGAGCAGUGUUGACAACACUUUUGUUUUAACAUUCUCUUCAACAUUUACUUUUUUAUUUGCUUAAAUCAAAUAGGUGUCACACUUUAAAAUUGAAUUACACUUGUUAUGGUCAUAUAUUAACGUCAUCCAAUAAAAAAAUAAGUGUUGAUGAGAAUGUUGAAAAUAAAGUGUCAUCAAAAUUUCUUAUUUUAAUUUGAACAUGUUGUGUUUAAAUCUCAUUUUUCACAACAAAUGUGAUGUUUUACCGAUACCCUAAUGUGUGUACGAGGGUAUGAAGGUAAGACUAAGAACUAAGAAACUAUACGGUAUAUAUACUUUAUCUCAUUUUUUGUUACAUUGCAUCAAAAACCCACAUGAUAUGUCAUGUUAGCCAUGUCAUCUAACUUAGAUUGAAAGAUGAAAUUAAAGACUAAACCAAUGGGGGCUAUUCAGAGAAAUUUAUUGGAUCAUCUUAUGUCGUUUUGUGGGUUAGGGGGUAUGUCAAAAAUGUUCGGGUGGCUCUUAACAUCAUUUGGGUUUUGGAUGUGUGGGGUUAUUUAGCACCAGAGAAAUAGACUCAAAUUCAAUCAUAAGGAGGAAUAUUUGCAAUCUUAUGCGAAAAAGUUAAGCUUUAAUCAUUUUCGUGGUUGAAAUUAAGAUAUAUUACUUUCGAUUUCGAUUAUCAUUUUUUGAGGCUUAAUCAUAUUCAUUGCCUAACUGUUCUAACUUAGCUUAUUGUAUCUUCUUUUGUUUUGUUUAUCUUGUAAAGUUAAGUCGUUUCUGAUACAUCUUGUGCUGAAAGAUUUGUUUUGGUUGGUAAUUUAUAUAUUUCAUUUUGGUCUCUUAGAAAAAACUAACAAUGGGGAUAUAGGGAUUAAAAAAAUUGUUAAAAAAACAUAGGGAUAAGAUCUAAAAUAGAGAAUUGAAUGACUAAAAUUGGCUAUUUACAUAAGUAUACGUAUGGAAGUUUUGCAAAUGUCCUUUUAACCUUAAAACUUAUCUUAACAUUGAUGAGUCUGAAUCUCAACUCUCGUAAACUUUUAUGUAAAAAAAAAAAAAAAAAAACACAAAUGGAGAAAAUAUAAAGACAUUACCUAAAACAAGUGAAGAUUAAAAUUGCACAUUCUCAAUACAAUCAAAUUAAGUGCAAUUUUCUUAAAUUAUACUUCAUAUAUCGCUAAUUAUAAGAUCUGUUUUAUUUUUAAAGGUCUAAUUAUAAGAUUUGUUACAAAAAUUUGUUUGUCCCUUAAUACAAAAGUAUCUAUAAAUUUUGGGGUAAUAGUCCCUUUGGUCCAUUAAUUUGUAAUGAGCAGUUACAAUGAUCCUUAAAUGUAUAAAAGUAUCAAAAUAGUCUAUGAUUGUGCAAUUUGUUAGUCAAAAUAGUCUUUGAUGUUAAAAUACUUCAUUAAUAUUGUCAUAUUACCCCGUCAAUAUACUUACUUAUUGUCAUAUCAGUCUUUAUAAAUACUUAAUUAUUGUCAUUUUAAUCCUUAUAUGAAAAGAGUUAUUGUGAACGUACAUUGAGAGAUUACUUUAGCGCCAGAGACCAUUUUGAGUAACAGAGUGCACAAUCAGAGACUAUUUUAAAAUUUUGAUAUAUCGAGAGACUAUUGUGACUACUCAUUACACAUUCAAGAACCAAAUGAUUAUCCCAUAAAUUUUUAAAUACAUUGAUUAUUUUUUUUCUAAAUAUCUAUUAUUAAUACAACCACUCUAUCUUAGAAUAUAAAAAAUAUUUACAUUGAAAGUAUUUAUACAACAAGAUAUUUUAUAAUAGUUAGAGACAUUUGGAACAAAUUUAUUCUUUCUUAUAACUUUUCUUAGCAUGAUUUUUAUAAGAGAUGGAUAGAAUAAAAGUGAUUGAUCAUCAAUCACGCAAAAGAAAAGUUGUUACGCUCUUCCAUGGACAAUGGACCCAAAAGCUAGUGGCAUACCUUGUACAAAGGAUACACAGCUUUGUCGUUUGGUUUCAUACAUGUGCUGUUAAUUGUCCCAAAUCUAUGAAUUCAUGCAAACUGGAAUAAUAAAAUAUCAACGCGUAAUAUAGCUGGCACAUCCUCCACUCACCCUCCAACAUAAUUUGACUUCAACUAUAUACCUUUCUAUUUUACACGUUAAUUAAUUCCUUUUAAAUACACUUUCCACUAUAUAUAUACCUACAACCCCAUCUUACAUUUCCAUCAGCACAUAACAUUUCCACAUUCCUUCUACUUCAUACUUUGUUCUAUCUCAAUACAUAUCCCAAAUGGCAUCUUUUAAGUUAAGUGCAAUCUUUACUCUUUUUCUCACAAUUUCACUACUUCAUUUAAUCUCAGCUGCUAGAAAAUUCACUGAAUCAGACCAACAACUUAAAUUUCAAUACCACAAAGGCCCUCUUCUCACCGGAAAAAUCUCAAUCAACCUCAUUUGGUAUGGAAAAUUCAAACCAUCUCAACGAGCCAUCAUAACUGAUUUCAUAACCUCCCUCUCUUCUCCUAAACAAGGAACAACCACAUCACAACCAUCCGUUGCCACGUGGUGGAAAUCAACCGAAAAAUAUUACCAACUCGCGAACAAUAAGAAAUCAGUUAACCUAGCUCUCUCACUAGGUUCUCAAAUUCUCAAUGAGAAUUACUCAUUAGGAAAAUCUCUCACAACUAACCAAAUCCUUAAACUCGCAUCAAAAGGACAACAACAAAACGCCAUCAACGUUGUCCUAACAGCCGCUGAUGUGUUAGUUGACGGUUUUUGUUCAAGUAGGUGUGGAACACAUGGUUCUUCUUAUGGUGCACUCGUAAAUGGAAAGAGAAACAAGUUCGCAUACAUUUGGGUUGGAAAUUCUGAAACUCAAUGUGCUGGUCAAUGCGCGUGGCCAUUUCACCAACCAAUUUAUGGUCCACAAAGUGCACCGUUGGUUGCACCAAAUAACGAUGUCGGUCUUGAUGGAAUGGUUAUAAAUGUUGCUAGUCUUUUAGCUGGAACCGUAACCAAUCCUUUUGGUAAUGGUUACUUUCAAGGACCAAAAGAAGCUCCUUUGGAAGCUGCUUCGGCUUGCACCGGUGUUUAUGCUAAAGGAGCUUAUCCUGGUUAUGCUGGGGACCUUUUGGUGGAUAAAACAAGUGGUGCUAGCUACAAUGCUAAUGGUGAUAAUGGAAGGAAGUAUUUGUUGCCUGCUAUUGUUGACCCUAAAACCUCGGUUUGUUCUACGUUGGUAUGAAGAAACUAAACAAAAGAAUGUGAAUGUGACGUCUCUUCGUGGU
rnacentral:lncRNA from 1 species